UGCCAAGACUAUAGGUUUCAGAAACUGACUGCAAGGCCUCAAUGUUGAAGACAACACCUAUGUAACUCAUUGAACAUGGAGAAGUCAAACAGGUCAGUGCCUUUCUUGAACAAAGCCUUGCUCAGCUGUCAUCAGAGAAGCUUCCUUUCCAGCUGAUGGAAACAAGUACAGAGACUCACAACCAGAUACACGGAACAGCCAGCUGUGACAUCUGAAUGUAAGUGACUUGAGGUGAAGAGAUAUGAAAACAAGGUUCGAGAGAAGAUUCUAGGUGCAGAAGACAGUGAGUAAAGACACCUGAUCUGAAGAACGGCAGGUGGAGCUCUCAGCACCUGCAAGCCUGUGAAUGAUUCAGGAGCAUAAUUUAAAUAAAUAAAUAAAUAAAUAAUAA